rnacentral:rRNA from 1 species
UGAGCAAUCUGCCCUUCUCAUCGGAAUAACCAUUGGAAACGAUGGCUAAUGCCGAAUAUGACCUCGGAUCACAUGUUCUGAGGUGGAAAGCUCCGGCGGAGAAGGAUGAGCUCGCGGCCUAUCAGCUUGUUGGUGAGGUAAUAGCUCACCAAGGCGAUGACGGGUAGCCGGCCUGAGAGGGUCGACCGGCCACACGUGGGACUGAGACACCGGCACGUACCG